GACGAACGCUGGCGGCGUGCCUAACACAUGCAAGUCGAGCGGAGUCAGUAAGAGGAAGUUUUCGGAUGGAAUCGUAUUGAUUUAGCGGCGGACGGGUGAGUAACGCGUGAGCGACCAACCUUGCACAGGGGGAUAACGGACCGAAAGGUUCACUAAUACCGCAUGAGACCACGGUGUUGCAUGACAGAGAGGUCAAAGGAGCAAUCCGGUGCAAGACGGGCUCGCGUCCGAUUAGGUAGUUGGAGGGGUAACGGCCCACCAAGCCGAUGAUCGGUAGCCGACCUGAGAGGGUGAUCGGCCACAUUGGAACUGAGAUACGGUCCAAACUCCUACGGGAGGCAGCAGUGGGGAAUAUUGGGCAAUGGGGGAAACCCUGACCCAGCAACGCCGCGUGAAGGAAGAAGGUUUUCGGAUUGUAAACUUCUGUCCUUGGUGAAGAGAAGAAGACGGUAGCCAAGGAGGAAGCCCCGGCUAACUACGUGCCAGCCGCCGCCGUAA
rnacentral:rRNA from 1 species